CUCAGCUUUGCCACUGCUGUCCAUGAUGGUUCGAUUCGAAGUUUGUGCAUAGCAGGAAAUCCAAACAAGAACGAACCUGGUGCAUU
rnacentral:ribozyme from 1 species